AGUGAACGCUGGCGGUAGGCCUAACACAUGCAAGUCGAACGGCAGCGCAGGAGAGCUUGCUCUCUGGGUGGCGAGUGGCGGACGGGUGAGGAAUACAUCGGAAUCUGCCCAGUCGUGGGGGAUAACGUAGGGAAACUUACGCUAAUACCGCAUACGACCUUCGGGUGAAAGAGGGGGAUCGCAAGACCUCUCGCGAUUGGAUGAGCCGAUGUCGGAUUAGCUAGUUGGCGGGGUAAUGGCCCACCAAGGCGACGAUCCGUAGCUGGUCUGAGAGGAUGAUCAGCCACACUGGAACUGAGACACGGUCCAGACUCCUACGGGAGGCAGCAGUGGGGAAUAUUGGACAAUGGGCGCAAGCCUGAUCCAGCCAUACCGCGUGGGUGAAGAAGGCCUUCGGGUUGUAAAGCCCUUUUGUUGGGAAAGAAAUCUUUCAGGCUAAUACCCUGGGAGGAUGACGGUACCCAAAGAAUAAGCACCGGCUAACUUCGUG
rnacentral:rRNA from 1 species